rnacentral:rRNA from 1 species
GACGAACGCUGGCGGCGUGCCUAAUACAUGCAAGUCGAACGCAUUCUCUUUCAUCGUUGUUUGCUACACAGAGAGAAAGUGAGUAGCGAACGGGUGGGUAACCCGUGCGUAACUUCCCCAUCAGCGGGGGCUGACAAUUGGAAACAGGUGCUAAUACCGCAUAAUUCAAUUUACCGCAUGGUAGCUGGAUGCAAGGCGCUUUUGCGUCACUGAUGGAUGGACCCGCGGUGCAUUAGCGAGUUGGUGGGGUAACGGCCUCCCAAGGCUGGGAUGCAUAGCCGGACUGGGAGGGUGAGCGGCCACACUGAGACUGAGACACGGCCCAGACCCCUACGGGAGGCAGCAGUAGCGGAUCUUCGGCUAUGGACGCAAGUCUGACCGAGAAACGCCGAGGUAGUGAAGAAGGUGAUCGGAUUGUAAAUCUCUGUCUUUAGAGAAGAACAAGGAUGGGGGUGGAAAGGUCAUCCCUUGACGGUAUCGAACCAGAAAGCCAUGGCUAACUACGUG